UACAUGUGGGGCAAGCGUUGUUCGGAAUUACUGGGCAUAAAGGGUGCGUAGGCGGCUUGUUAAGUCAGGGGUGAAAGUUUUCGGCCCAACCGGAAAAUUGCCUUUGAUACUGGCGAGCUGGAGUGCGUGAGGGGUGACCGGAACAGUGGUGUAGCGGUGAAAAUGCGUAGAUAUCAGGAGGAACACCGAUGGCGAAGGCAGGUCACUGGGGCCGCAACUGACGCUGAGGAGCGAAAACUG
rnacentral:rRNA from 1 species